rnacentral:lncRNA from 1 species
UUCUUGUUCAUUGAAUUCACUGUUUUUGGCUUAAAAAAUGAAGCUCGACCUUCAUGUUUAUUUGAUUGUCGAAAAUUUUAUGCAGUUGAUCUGGAUGGAGCAUUAUUUUCACUGUUUAUGCAGUUGAUCCGGAUGGAGCAUGUACUGCUAUCCAAUUCAUGACAUUUUGCAACAUAAACUCCUUUUUAACAGAGGUAUUUUAUUUGUCAGCCUACUGUCUUGUGUGUUUCAUCAUUUGUCAACUGGUUUGAUGUCUUUAAUUGUUUGACCCAAAUAAAAGCUUGAUUUCAAGUCAUCAAUUUUACUCCAAAAUGAAUACUUCCCUUUAACAUUGUCGAUAUUUUAAUGGAAAUUUUAAAUGUGCAGAUUUUUUUCCUUCACAUUUUUUAUUCGUAUUCCGAAUUCAACUUGUAUUAAUAUUGGUUGUAACAACUUGAGAUGUGAAUUGCACUGCGAAUUGAGAUUGUGAAAUUGUGAAUUUAUGAUUCUUUUGUCAUUAUGAAUUAUUCUCACUCACUCCCAGUAAUAAUUGGAUAUCAAAUGUUUAAAUUCAGAUAUGAAAUGAAUAGAUACUUUCAACGAAAAAGGAAC